UACAGAGGGGGCAAGCGUUGUUCGGAAUUACUGGGCGUAAAGGGCGCGUAGGCGGCCUGCUAAGUCGAACGUGAAAUCCCCGAGCUCAACUCGGGAACUGCGUCCGAUACUGACAGGCUUGAAUCCGGGAGAGGGAUGCGGAAUUCCAGGUGUAGCGGUGAAAUGCGUAGAUAUCUGGAGGAACACCGGUGGCGAAGGCGGCGUUCUGGACUGCAACUGACACUGAGAGACGAAAGCCAGGGGAGCAAACGGG
rnacentral:rRNA from 1 species